CCGUAGCCCAAGAGAUCGGGAUAACACCUGGAAACAGAUGCUAAUACCGGAUAACAACAGAUGAUGCCUAUCAACUGUUUAAAAGAUGGUUCUGCUAUCACUCCUGGAUGGACCUGCGGUGCAUUAGCUAGUUGGUAGGGUAACGGCCUACCAAGGCGAUGAUGCAUAGCCGAGUUGAGAGACUGAUCGGCCACAUUGGGACUGAGACACGGCCCAAACUCCUACGGGAGGCAGCAGAC
rnacentral:rRNA from 1 species